GACGAACGCUGGCGGCAUGCCUAACACAUGCAAGUCGAACGGGGCAGCAAUGCCUAGUGGCGGACGGGUGAGGAAUACGUAGGAAUCUGCCCUUAAGUGGGGGAUAACCAGGGGAAACCCUGACUAAUACCGCAUGAUCUCUUCGGAGCAAAGAGGGGACCGCAAGGCCUCUCGCUUCUGGAUGAGCCUACGUCUGAUUAGCUAGUUGGUAGGGUAAAGGCCUACCAAGGCGACGAUCAGUAACUGGUCUGAGAGGAUGAUCAGUCACACCGGAACUGAGACACGGUCCGGACUCCUACGGGAGGCAGCAGUGGGGAAUAUUGGACAAUGGGCGCAAGCCUGAUCCAGCAAUGCCGCGUGUGUGAAGAAGGCCUUCGGGUUGUAAAGCACUUUAGCCUGGAAAGAAAAAACUUUGGUUAACACCCAAAGUCUUGACGGUACCAGGAGAAUAAGCACCGGCUAACUCUGUGCCAGCCGCCGCUGUAAGAC
rnacentral:rRNA from 1 species